CUGAAGGCCUUCCAUUCCUAUCUUUCAACACAAACAACUUCCUCAAGUGAGAAAAAAUGUUCAGGAACUCUAAGAACAAUUCUGCACAAGCACACCCAAAGGACAGCAAGAGGACAAAUCCAUAUGAUGCAUUCCUCAACCGGAACAUUCCAUAUUGUAAAAAAUGCAAUUCUGCCCUGAUUAAUCUGCACCUUUAAUGUAUUUCUAGUCCAAUCACAAUAUACUUUGAAUCUCUUUUA